GCCUGGGUGGCUCAGUGGUUGAGCGUCUGCCUUUGACUCAGAUCAUGAUCCUGGGAUCUGGGAUUGAGUCCCACAUUGGGCU
rnacentral:tRNA from 1 species